rnacentral:rRNA from 1 species
GACGAACGCUGGCGGCGUGCUUAACACAUGCAAGUCGAGCGGUAAGGCCCUUUCGGGGGUACACGAGCGGCGAACGGGUGAGUAACACGUGGGUGACCUGCCCUCGGCUCUGGGAUAAGCCUGGGAAACCGGGUCUAAUACCGGAUAUGACUCCAUGACGCAUGUUGUGGGGUGGAAAGCCUUGUGCGGCUGAGGAUGGGCCCGCGGCCUAUCAGCUUGUUGGUGGGGUGAUGGCCACCAAGGCGACGACGGGUAGCCGGCCUGAGAGGGCGACCGGCCACACUGGGACUGAGACACGGCCCAGACUCCUACGGGAGGCAGCAGUGGGGAAUCUUGCGCAAUGGGCGAAAGCCUGACGCAGCGACGCCGCGUGAGGGAUGACGGCCUC